AUCAAUUUUUUUCAAUGCAACUCGAACAAAAUGUGAGAAGGCAUGUAUAAAACAAUUAAUUGAACUAAAACAGCAGACCCCCUCCCCGCCUUCAUAAACUGUUUAAUAUUUUAUGAACCCCCCUUUUUCCUUGCUAAAAAAUAUGUGACCCCGCUAUUUCCACCUCCCCACCCCUCCUGCUAAAUUAUGACCAGUCCCUAAUGUAAUAAUUUUAGUUUUGAAUUUGACGUAGAUCAUAGAUCUUAGAUUUUUUUAAUAAUUUGAUAUAAUCACGUAAGAUAUAUUAUAAAUAGUAGUGAAGGAUGAAUAUAAAUAAAAAAGACCCUUUUUCCUCCGCAUCUUAUUAGCGCUGGAUUAAACUUUUCUGGGGCGCCGGAUGUAAAAAUAUUGGGACUGGUUCCAAAGAACCUGCUGAAGGAUUUUUUUAGCUAGCGUCCACUCUAAAAUAAAUGUUAUUGGCGUUCAGCCUAAAUAGGUCUCGUAUUUUCGAUUAUCACUUCGUCAAACGUUUUGUCCUAAAUUUCCUUGCAGAAGCCCUGGGCAUGAGGUUACCGUAUUUCCUCUAUUUAGCCCCCGACCUUUUUAUCCCUCCAAUUAUCCCCCUUCCUCUCCAAUUAACCCCCAGUCCAAAAGUGCUGAAAAAAUAAGCCCCC